rnacentral:rRNA from 1 species
AUGCAAGUCGAACGGAGUUGAGAGAGCUUUGCUUUUUCAACUUAGGUGGCGGACGGGUGAGUAACGCGUGAGUAACCUGCCUUUCAGUGGGGAAUUAAUAUUCUGAAAAGAGUACUAAUACCGCAUAAUGUAUAGAAACCGCAUGAUUUUUAUACCAAAGAUUUAUCGCUGAGAGAUGGACUCGCGUCCGAUUAGCCAGUUGGUGAGGUAACGGCUCACCAAAGCAACGAUCGGUAGCCGGACUGAGAGGUUGAACGGCCACAUUGGGACUGAGACACGGCCCAGACUCCUACGGGAGGCAGCAGUGGGGAUAUUGUGCAAUGGGGAAACCCUGACACAGCAAUGCCGCGUGAAGGAUGAAGGUCUUCGGAUUGUAAACUUCUUUUGUCAAGGACGAUAAUGACGGUACUUGACGAAUAAGCUCCGGCUAACUACGUGCC